rnacentral:rRNA from 1 species
AACGAACGCUGGCGGCGUGUUUAAGACAUGCAAGUCGCACGGGAUCAUUUUGGUAGCAAUACUCGGAUGGUCCAGUGGCGCACGGGUGAGUAACACGUGAAUGACAUGCCCUUCAGUGGGGGAUAGCCCAGGGAAACUUGGAUUAAUACCCCAUGGUAUCGCGAGAUUAAAGGUGGCCGCAAGGCUGUCGCUGGAGGAUUGGUUCGCGUUCUAUCAGCUUGUUGGCGGGGUAACGGCCCACCAAGGCUACGACGGAUACCUGGUCUGAGAGGACGAUCAGGCACACGGGAACUGAGACACGGUACAGACACCUACGGGUGGCAGCCGUCGAGAAUAAUUCACAAUGGGGGCAACCCUGAUGGUGCAACGCCGCGUGGAGGAUGAAGGUCUUCGGAUUGUAAACUCCUGUCAUCCGGGAGCAAGACCUGACGGUUAACAGCCGGCAGGGUUGAUAGUACCGGAAGAGGAAGGGACGGCUAACUUCGUGCCAGCAGCCGCCGUAACAC